rnacentral:misc_RNA from 1 species
AACCCCCCUCAAAUCUUCUUUUUUUUGUGAAAAAGAUUUGGAUUUGAGCGAUCCUAACGUAUUUUUUUUAAAAAAAAAAGUAUGGCAGGUCUCUUGAAAUAAAGGUACAGCUGAACUUUCUUCUGAGCUAAAAGCAUAUUUAUUUAGUCCUGCUUUGCGGCUGGAUUAUUACUUUUGCUGCAGCUAACAUAAAGGUUGAUUGUUCUUAUGCUGACUGAUACAGGAAAUUUAUCAGUGAAGCGUGUGCAAGCGCGCGAAACUGUGAA